UGUGUAUCAGUACAUGGCAUAUCAAUAAGCGGAGGAAAAGAAACUAACUAGGAUUCCCUCAGUAACGGCGAGUGAAGCGGGAAGAGCUCAAAUUUGAAAUCUUCAAGGUUUUACCUUGACGAAUUGUAGUUUAAAGAAGUGUUUUCUGUUGGUGUUUUGGUAAAAGUUCUUUGGAAUAGGACAUCAUAGAGGGUGAGAAUCCCGUAUUUGACCAUUACUUCCAGCGUUGUGAUACACUUUCAAAGAGUCGGAUUGUUUGGGAAUGCAGUCCAAAAUGGGUGGUAAAUUUCAUCUAAAGCUAAAUAUUGGCGAGAGACCGAUAGCGAACAAGUACCGUGAGGGAAAGAUGAAAAGAACUUUGAAAAGAGAGUUAAACAGUACGUGAAAUUGUCAAAAGGGAAGCGUUUGACACCAGUGUUGUUUUCUCGAAAAUCAAUUAAAAAGAGUUGGAUUUUGUAUUGUUAAGACCUUAUCAGCUUACUGUACUUUUUUCUUGCUCUUUUUAAUGCACUUUUCGUUUAACAAGUCAACAUCAAUUUCUUUUGUUGUAAAAGGGUCAUUGGAAGGUGGCUUUCACUUCGGUGAAAGUGUUUAUAGCCUUUGGCUUUUGCAAUCGGAGAGAUUGAGGUCUGCAGCGUAGAUCCUUCGGGGUUAGAUACGUAGAUGCUAAGUUAUAAUUUUUUAUAGACAACUUGUUGACUAUGAUUAAUCAUGUAGCUUACUCGUUUGCGCUAUUUUACCUACGCUUAGGAUGUUGACAGCAGUAUAGACUGU
rnacentral:rRNA from 1 species